AAUGUGAAUUGCAGAAUUCAGUGAAUCAUCGAAUCUUUGAACGCACAUUGCGCCCAUUAGUACUCUAGUGGGCAUGCCUGUUCGAGCGUCAUUACGACCCUUAAGCCUAGCUUAGUAUUGGGAACCUACGUGCGGCAGCUACCCUGUAGCUACCCUGUAGCUCCUUAAAGACAACGGCGGAGACGUGGAGUCCUCUGAGCUUAGUAACUUUUCUAGCUUCUGAAGGCGCCGCGGCCCCUGCCGUAAAACCCCCCAACUCUUUAGUGGUUGACCUCGGAUCAGGUAGGAAUACCCGCUGAACUUAAGCAUAUCAAUAAGCGGAGGAAAAGAAACCAACAGGGAUUGCCUUAGUAACGGCGAGUGAAGCGGCAACAGCUCAAAUUUGAAAGCUGGCCUUCGGGUCCGCGUUGUAAUUUGUAGAGGAUGCUUUUGGUUAGGUGCCUUACGAGUUCCCUGGAACGGGACGCCUUAGAGGGUGAGAGCCCCGUACGUUUGGUUACCGAGCCUCUGUAAAGCUCCUUCGACGAGUCGAGUAGUUUGGGAAUGCUGCUCUAAAUGGGAGGUAAAUUUCUUUUAAAGUUAAAUACCGGCCAGAGACCGAUAGCGCACAAGUAGAGUGAUCGAAAGAUGAAAAGCACUUUGAAAAGAGGGUUAAAUAGCACGUGAAAUUGUGGAAAGGGA
rnacentral:rRNA from 1 species